AACGCACCUUGCGCCCUUUGGCUAUUCCGAAGGGCAUGCCUGUUUGAGUAUCAUGAACACCUCAACUCUCGUGGCUUGCCAUGACGAGCUUGGACUUUGGGGGUCUUGUUGGUCUGUGAGCCAGCUCCUCUUAAAUGAAUUAGCUUGCCGGUGUUUGGUGGCGUCACAGGUGUGAUAACUAUCUACGCUUGUGGUUUCCCACCAGGUAACCUUCAGCAAUGGAGGUUCACUGGAGCUUAUAAGCGUCUCUCCUCUGCGAAGACGCAUUUUGACCAUUUGAUCUCAAAUCAGGUAGGACUACCCGCUGAACUUAA
rnacentral:misc_RNA from 1 species